ACCCAAAUAGCUCAGUUGGGAGAGCUUUAGAUUAUAGAUCAAAAAGACCCUGGUUCGAUCUGGGGAAUCAGCA
rnacentral:tRNA from 1 species